AUAAUAUUCAAAUCAAGCAAGGCUACCC
rnacentral:rRNA from 1 species